GCUUUUCUUUUUAAAAUACACUUACAUUGCAUAUACUUCUCAUUCUUCUCAAAAAAAAAAAAAUUCCUGAGUAUUGCCACUACUUAAAACAUGGAUCGCCCUUGUUUUUGAGUUUAAAAGCUUGCCUUUUAAACUCAAAGAGAAACUCAAAGUAAUAUCUAAACUCCUGCUGAAUGAAUGUAGAACAACCUCACUCUAAGCUGGCUGCUUCUGGUUCCAAAAUUAGAAGUGAUGCACCUGUUAUAUCUGACCCUGGGCCUGUUUAAGGAAAUCCUUUAGGUAUUUUGAGACUUAAUCCAAGACAGACCCUCUGUAUGCCAACUUCCCAAAUAUAGCUCAGCGUUAAGGCAAUAUUAGAGGAUCCUAUGUCUUUAAACUGCACCAAAACUUAGAGAAACUCACUUAACUUUCAAAGGAUCUUUGCUUGUUGACAUUAACUUCUGAACCUUUUCAAGAAACCAAACCAGAGUUGAUGAAUGUUUAUUCUAAGGAAGCCAUUUCUGACUGUGUGAAGAACUCUAAACAGACAUCAUUUUAAUCAAAUAAUACCUGAAAGAUUCAAUGCUUUUGAGACCUAAUGAAAUUAUAAAAUUAAACUUAUGCAAAGGAGUCAACCAACUUUUUUCUUCUUGUGCAAAGUCAAUGCCUUAAGUUUGUUUACUCUGACAAACUUUAGGGCUAAUAAUUGUACUAGAUAGAAUUUUUUAAAUUGUUUUUAAACUUCAUAGAUUGAUAGAUUUUAUGGAGUUUUGUUUUUUCCAACAAUACCUAAGGUUAGGUAUUGUAGUAGGCAGCCUCUAAAAUGCCCCACUCCCGACCCCCACCAAGUGAUUCCCACUUCCUGGUAUUCACACUCAUAUAAUCACCUCCACCUUGUAACAGGAUUGGUCUGAGUGACCAAUAGAAUAGAGCAAAAGUAGUGGUAUGUCACUUCUGAGAUUAGGUUAUAAGAGACAUUUUUGGCAUUUUGAUUGGCCUCUCAUACUCCCUGUCUCAUGGGUCACUCAUGCUGGUGGAACCUGGCUGCUAUGUGUCAGAUUUACAGAGAGGUUCCCCUUGUAAGAAACUGGAGCCUGCUUUCCUCCAGCAGUCAUGUGAGUCAGCUUUGAAGCGAAUCCUCCAGCCCAGUCAGGUUUUCAGACAACUCCAGCGUUGGCCAAAAUCUUGACUACAACCUCAGGAGAAACCCUGGCCAGAACUACCCAGAUAAGCUCUGAAAUUCUUGACCUCAGAAACUGGAUAGAGAAUGAAUGCAUUUUGACAAUUCGUGAAAAUAAUCACUAGUUUAGUAUCCGUGGUUGUACCAGUUCUCUGAAUUCUAAAGAUGAAAAGGUAAGUUAUUUUACCAAAGAGUCAAAAUAGUAAGUAAUAGGAUUUCUUUUGAAUCUAUGAAAUCUCUUACAAAAAUAGAGUAACCUAAGAAUGUCUUUAUUGCCACAUAGCAUUGUUUCAUUUUCUACAAAAAUUCAAGUAAUGGAAUCCUACUCAAAAAAUGUAUUUUAUGAAGAAAGACCUGUUUCUUCUGGAUCUUAUCUGCCAGAGGCUGCUAAUUGUCGUUCUCCACUUCCCAUUUGAUUUCCCCUGAGUUUUUGCUGGGCCCAUGGGCACCCAACUUUGGGCUAUAUCUCCCAGCUACCUUAGAACUAAAUGUGACCCUGUGAUUGUGUUUAGGUCAAUGGGAUGUAAGCAGAAUUAUUUAACUUCCAGCUCAUCUCCUUAAAGAUGAAGCUUCUUGCCUUCUACUCUCUGUCCUACUUCCCAUGAGCUGCUCUGAAAACAUGGUUGAAGGCCGAGUGCGGUAGCUUACGUCUGUAAUCCCAGCACUUUGGGAGGCCCAGGCGGGCGGAUCAGCUGAGGUCAGGAGUUCAAGACCAGCCUGGCUAAAGUAGUGAAACCCCAUCUCUAUGAAAAAUACAAAAUUAGCCAGGCUUGGUGGCGGGCACCUGUAAUCCCAGCUACUGUGGAGGCUGAGGCAGGAGAAUCACUUGGACCUGGGAGCCGAGAUCGCUCAACUGCACUCCAGCCUGGGCAACAGAGUGAGACUCCAUCUCAGAAAAAAAAAAAAAAAAAUGGUUGAAACUAGUUAGCCAGCUUUGCCGGGCACAGUGGCUCACGCCUGUAAUCCCAGCACUUUGGGAGGCCGAGGCAGGCGGAUCACGAGGUCUGGAGUUUGAGACCAGCCUGACCAACAUGGUGAAAUCCUGGCUCUACUAAAAAUUCAAAAAUUAGCUGGUUGUGGUGGCACACGCCUGUAAUCCCGGCUACUCGGGAGGCUGAGGCAGAAGAAUCGCUGGAAACCGAGAGGCGGAGGUUGCAGCGAGCCAAGAUCCGGCCAUUGCACUUCAGCCUGGGUGGGCAACAGAGGGAGAUUCCGUCUCAAAAAAAAAAAACAAAAAACGAAACUAGUUACCCAGCUUUGAUCAUGCAAAGACAACACCGUAAGAUAACAGAGCAAUGAGAUGGAGGACUGAGCUCCUGAAUACUUCAUAGCCUGUGAUCCUUGAACCAGUCCUCUCCAGACUGUGAGAAAUAAACUUAUUUUACCAAC